AGUGAACGCUGGCGGUAGGCCUAACACAUGCAAGUCGAACGGCAGCACAGUAAGAGCUUGCUCUUCCGGGUGGCGAGUGGCGGACGGGUGAGGAAUACAUCGGAAUCUACUUUUUCGUGGGGGAUAACGUAGGGAAACUUACGCUAAUACCGCAUCCGACCUACGGGUGAAAGCAGGGGAUCUUCGGACCUUGCGCGAUUGAAUGAGCCGAUGUCGGAUUAGCUAGUUGGCGGGGUAAAGGCCCACCAAGGCGACGAUCCGUAGCUGGUCUGAGAGGAGGAUCAGCCACACUGGAACGGAGACACGGUCCAGACGCCUACGGGAGGCAGCAGUGGGGAAUAGUGGACAAUGGGCGCAAGCCUGAUCCAGCCAUACCGCGUGGGUGAAGAAGGCCUUCGGGUUGUAAAGCCCUUUUGUUGGGAAAGAAAAGCAGCAGGUUAAUACCCCGCUGUUCUGACGGUACCCAAAGAAUAGGCACCGGCUAACUUCGUG
rnacentral:rRNA from 1 species